AAGAAAGUGGCAGAGCGGUUAUGCUGUUGGCUUGAAACCGACGUAUGGGGGUUCAAUUCCUCCCUUUCUCG
rnacentral:tRNA from 3 species